rnacentral:rRNA from 1 species
GACGAAGGAUGCAAGCGUUAUCCGGAUUCAUUGGGUUUAAAGGGUGCGUAGGCGGCCUGCUAAGUCAGUGGUGAAAUCUUCUCGCUUAACGAGAGAACUGCCAUUGAUACUGGUGGGCUUGAGUACAGAUGCUGUGGGCGGAAUAUGACAUGUAGUGGUGAAAUACAUAGAGAUGUCAUAGAACACCGAUUGCGAAGGCAGCUCACAAAACUGUAACUGACGCUGAGGCACGAAAGUGCGGGGAUCAAACAGG